rnacentral:rRNA from 1 species
AUUGAACGCUGGCGGCAGGCCUAACACAUGCAAGUCGAGCGGAUGAAGGGAGCUUGCUCCUGGAUUCAGCGGCGGACGGGUGAGUAAUGCCUAGGAAUCUGCCUGGUAGUGGGGGAUAACGUCCGGAAACGGGCGCUAAUACCGCAUACGUCCUGAGGGAGAAAGUGGGGGAUCUUCGGACCUCACGCUAUCAGAUGAGCCUAGGUCGGAUUAGCUAGUUGGUGGGGUAAAGGCCUACCAAGGCGACGAUCCGUAACUGGUCUGAGAGGAUGAUCAGUCACACUGGGACAUAGACACGGGUCCAACACCCACGGGGGGGAAGAGUGGGGAAAUUUUGGCAAAGGGGGGAAACCUUAACCAACCCAUCCCCGGGGGGUGAAAAAGUCUUUUGGUUUGAAAACACUCUUAAUUUGGGGGAAGGGGAGUAAAGUUAAACCUUUCUUUUUUUACGUUUCCAACAAAAAAAAGACCGGCUAACUUCGGU